UCACAUCUGUUUUACAUAAAAGUUUACCAAAUACUAUAAUACUACUUUUUUUUUUCAAAAGCAUUUUUACAAAAAAGUUUACCAAACACUCUACAGCUUUAUUUCACAGCCGCUUAUUCUCACAGCACAACAGAAGCAACUUUUUUUCAAAGUAUAGCAAUACCAAACCAACCCUUAAUCUCUCCAUUCAUAUGCAUGCACGGAGAGAAAGGUGGAAUAGCAGACACUCUUUUAUCACAACGCUAUACCACACAAAGGUCCAUUAUUUCUCUUACAUUUUGCAACUUUUGCAGGAGAGAUCAAAACGUAAAAAUCCAGGGGAAAAAGAACAGGAAAGACCCCCCAUAGUUUAAAGAAGCAUAUUCUACUUAGAAAGCUUGAAAAAUAAAAAAAGGUGGAUCUUAUGGAAUUAGGGUUUCAGAAAAGCGAGCCAAAAGAAGCCAAAAAAGCUUGAAAACGAUCAUUCAAUUUCGACCAGCAUCUUAUAAUGAUUCUAUGUAAUGAUGUUUGCAUGAAAUUCAUCAUCAAUUUUUUUUUUUUGGAGGAGAUCAUAGUAUUAUCCGUUGCGUCCAUUGUAUACCCAGCCCAGCUAACAUUCUUCCUUUCCUCUACUCUUCAAGAUCUUAAUUUGCAUCCUAAUUAUUAAUUAGUUAAGGUUUAACUUAACUAAAUAUGCGUUCAUAGGAAUAUAGCCAAGUCAAUCAAAAUGCUCUGUGCAAUUCAAGCUACAUAUUCCAUCAUGCACGUACUUCUUUAAUUAAUUGAUUAAUUCCUUGAGAGUAACUUUAAUUAAUUUUUAAACAAUUUGGUGAGAGAAAGGAAGAAAUAGAUUUGCAACUUAGGAAGGACAUAUAUUGAAUAGCUGUCUCACUUGGACAAUUUGUUUAACUUGAAUUAUAAUUCAUGGGUUUUCUAGUUAUAAAAUUUUAAUUAUGCACACAUGUUUUAAUUGAAAUGUACAUAAGAAUGUUAAAGAUCAACUAGCAUUUGUUUUGGUGAUAAUUGUCUAGCUCAUUUGACUGAAAAAAGUAUCAAGUUCGAUUAACAUAUAUAAGCAAGAGUGUGUAAUGAGUUUGAUACUUAAUUACAUAUGAUUUGUUAUUACAUAAUUUUGUUGUGAGUAUGUUCUCGUCUAGAAACUAUAUAGCUUAUUGUUUUGACAAGCAUUAAGUUUAAUAAUUAAAAAUUAUUGUACAUGCGUAAAUUUAAACUUGCAUGACACUGUUUGUAAGUACAAUAAUGGAAUUACAUAAUUUAAAGAAGUCUGAAACGUGCUUCUCCAAUUGAUUAAAAGUCAUGAUGAACAUACUUAAUUAGUCUUUGAUCGAGGUUAAAUAAUUCUAAAGCUCUGGUUAAGAGAUCUCGAAUCCCCAACUCUCCUAUUAUCCCAUGUUGCCAUUCCAUGGACGCACUGACGGAUCCAUUAA
rnacentral:lncRNA from 1 species